AUUCAAGAGCUGCCUUACUAGAUGGCCUUGGGCAAGUCACAAAACCUUUCUGGGAUUCUCUGAGUGUGGGGUUGAUUUUCUGUCUCUAUCAGGUGAUCCUUUCCCCAUAAUCUUAAUUAUUUAUGCCAUGCUCUCUGUUCUCUUCAGAGAGAUUGGCAUUUACAUAUAUGUUAAAUGUUAUUUUCUUUUGCUAACACCAAUUAAUGCAAUCCUGUCUGUUUUUAACUUCCUUAGCCUCCAUCUUCAGGCAAGAAAGUCUGUGAUAUGAAUGAAGGGAUCAUUAAAGACACGUGGAAUCAAAGCUUUUGGUCAACUGCCAACAAGGUACAGAGGCCCAACAGCAAUCAUCGAAUGAGCUUAGAAGUGGAUCCUCUCACCCCAGUUGAGCCUUCUGAUGACUGCAGCUCUGGCUGAUGCUUGACUACAACUUCAUCAGAAAUCCUCAUGAAGAUCCAGCACCUUCCAGUUAGCCCAUCUGUGGGUUCUUGACCCUCAGAAAUUCUAUGAGAUAAUAAAUAUUUGUUGUUUUAAGUUGCU
rnacentral:lncRNA from 1 species